rnacentral:lncRNA from 1 species
GAUUUUGCACUCUGAAGCCUAAACCCAUGGUAAGUCAGUUGAUCGUGCGUUCGGUGGCACGUUUUGCACAGAUAUAGAAUAACGGAACAGGAAAGAUAACUUGAUCCAAGCAAACACCGGUACAACGCCGGCUACUUAAAUCGAUCGAAAGUUCAGGAUUACAUCAACAACACUGACAUCCAUCCAAAAGAUCUCCCUCUCGACUCAGCCACACCUAAAAACCUGCCUUGGGAACAGCCAAACACUACAAUCCAUCACACUUCAGAGUUCAGAGACCUCAGACUCCCGCUGCCAGAAUCACCACCUCUCCCAGCUUAAUCGACCUCCUCGAUCUUGGGCCCAGCACCGCUUCCACCGGCCGGCGCAUCCUCGCCACCCAUGCCUCCCAUGUCGGCGCCAACGCCCUGGUACAUCUUGGCGAUGAUGGGGUUGCAGACGCCCUCCAGCUCCUUCAUCUUGUCCUCCAACUCGUCCACCUCCGCGAGCUGGUUGGUGUCGAGCCAGCUGAUGGCGCCGUCGAUGGCGUCCUCGAUCUUCUUCUUGUCGGCGGCCGGGAGCUUGGACGCGAUCUUGUCGUCCUUGAUGGUGUUCCUCAUGUUGUAGGCGUAGUUCUCCAGCGCGUUCUUGGCCUCCACCUUCUUCUUCAGCUCCUCGUCCUCCGCCUUGUACCGCUCCGCCUCCUGCACCAUCUUCUCGAUGUCCUCCUUGCUCAGCCGCCCCUUGUCGUUGGUGAUGGUGAUCUUGUUCUUCACGCCGGCGGUCUUGUCCUCGGCCGACACGUUGAGGAUGCCGUUGGCGUCGAUGUCGAAGCAGACGGUGAUCUGGGGCACGCCGCGGGGCGCCGGGGGGAUGCCGGACAGCUCGAACUUGCCCAGCAGGUUGUUGUCCUUGGUCCGCGCGCGCUCGCCCUCGAACACCUGGAUCAGCACGCCCGGCUGAUUGUCCGAGUAGGUGGAGAAGAUCUGCUCCUUCUUGGUCGGGAUGGUGGUGUUCCGCGGGAUGAGCGUGGUCAUCACGCCGCCGGCGGUCUCCAGGCCGAGGGACAGCGGGGUGACGUCCAGCAGGAGCAGGUCCUGCACCUUCUCAUUGCCCUCGCCGCUGAGGAUGGCGGCCUGCACGGCGGCGCCGUAGGCCACGGCCUCGUCGGGGUUGAUGCUCUUACACAGCUCCUUGCCGUUGAAGAAGUCCUGGAGCAGCUGCUGCACCUUGGGGAUGCGGGUGGAGCCGCCGACGAGCACGACGUCGUGCACGGUGCUCUUGUCCAUCUUGGCGUCGCGCAGGCACUUCUCCACGGGCUCCAUGCACUUGCGGAAGAGGUCCAUGUUGAGCUCCUCGAACCGGGCCCUGGUGAUGGUCGAGUAGAAGUCGACGCCCUCGUACAGCGAGUCGAUCUCGAUGGUGGUCUGGGCGGUGGACGACAGGGUGCGCUUGGCGCGCUCACAGGCCGUGCGCAGCCGGCGCAGCGCGCGAGGGUUGCCGCUGAUGUCCUUCUUGUGCUUGCGCUUGAACUCCUGGACGAAGUGGUUCACCAUGCGGUUGUCGAAGUCCUCGCCGCCGAGGUGGGUGUCGCCGGCGGUGGCCUUCACCUCGAAGAUGCCCUCCUCGAUGGUGAGCAGCGACACAUCGAAGGUGCCGCCACCAAGGUCGAAGAUGAGCACGUUCUUCUCGCCGGAGCUGCUGGCCUUCUUGUCCAGGCCGUAGGCUAUGGCGGCGGCAGUGGGCUCGUUGAUGAUGCGCAUCACGUUGAGGCCGGCGAUGACCCCGGCGUCCUUGGUGGCCUGCCGCUGCGAGUCGUUGAAGUAGGCCGGCACCGUGACGACGGCGUUCUUGAUGGUGGUGCCGAGGUAGGCCUCGCCGAUCUCCUUCAUCUUGAUGAGCACCAUCGAGGAGAUCUCCUCGGCGGCGAACUGCUUCUCCUCGCCCUUGUACUGGACGACGAUCAUCGGCUUGUCAGCAGGGCCUGGGAUGACCUUGAACGGCCACAGCUUCAUGUCGCUCUGCACCGACGGGUCGGUGAACCGCCUGCCGAUCAGCCGCUUGGCAUCUGCAAUAGUGAUAUAACAAGACUGUGAGUCAAACUGUUCCAUUUGCGCUCAAAUUAAUCAAACUCAUCUGGGAACAAAAAGCAAAUAAGCAGAGCAACAGCAGAGUUUUGACAUGCUCCAAACAGGAAACUGAAAUUUACCCACAAUGCUGUCCUGCCCCAAAACAAAUAGUUUCAACAGAAACAGCCAACCCAACAAGUUAUCUUCCUUUCCAUUGUUGACCCAUUGUUUUCUCGUAUCUCUGCUAGGAGUACUCGUUAAGCCCAGCAAACAAAUUUAGACAAACAAAAUUCAGAGCAACAGCAUUACAGUUCCAAACAGGAAACUGAAAUUUACCCACGAUGUUCUCCUGUCCCCAAACAAUUGUUUCAACAGAAACAGCCAACCCAAGGAGUUGUCAUCCUAUCCAUUGUUGACCCGUGAACAGUUUUCAACAUAGAAAUCUUAAUCAGCAAAGCUUUUGACAGAAUACUACUGGAACUAAGGGGAUUUUAAGCUUAGACCAGAUUAAUUGCAUAUAUUUCCGUCAGUUUGUCGAAUACACGACGAUGCAGAAUAGGACAAUGCCAGCGAUUAGACACAUGUCCAGUUGGUUUUACAUUCCUCUGCUACUUGUUAAGCCCAGUAAACAAAUUGAUUUGCACUGCGAUACUAGCGUCCCUACGAGGAAUUGGGUCCAAACAGAAUCAGUGGCAAGCCAAGCACGAACACGAGAUGAUCCAUCUAUCUAAGCUAGUAGAAGAGGAGCGGUGCAGGAGGACGUACCGAAGACGGUGUUGGUGGGGUUCAUGGCGACCUGGUUCUUGGCGGCGUCGCCGAUGAGGCGCUCGGUGUCGGUGAAGCCGACGUAGGAGGGCGUGGUGCGGUUGCCCUGGUCAUUCGCGAUGAUCUCCACCCGGUCGUGCUGCCACACGCCGACGCACGAGUAGGUGGUGCCCAGGUCGAUGCCGAUCGCCGGCCCCUCUCCUCCCUUCGCCAUCUCCUCUCUAAACUCGAACGGGGAAACGGGAACUCCAAGAUGAAAUCGGAGCUAAGAACUCGAGAUCUGAGGGAAAUCGCUUGAUUGCUAGAACGCGUUGGGAAUCGCGAUGGAACUGAUGGAUCCUAGGGACGAACACGGGGCGCGGGUUUUAUUUGGGAUGCUGGGAUUUUUCGAGAAUGUUCGGGGAGGGGCGCGCUCUGUUCUCGAAGCCGCUCGAGUGGUGCGGUAUGCCUGACGGUUGGCGUUGGAGAGGAGGAAGACGCGGACCGGUGAGACCAGCCUUUGACCCUGUCUCGUAGGUUCUACAGCGAACGGCUAUGUUCCGGCUGCUGGGCUUUCUUGGUGGGCUGGGUCUCGUACAUGUCUCAUUUUUCACUCAAGGGUGUUUUUCUUGCCAAAAAAAAAAACUCAAGGGUGUUUUUCUCCUUUUGGGUAGAAAUAUACGGCCCAUUAUUGCAGAUCAGCCAUACAUUUGCCACAACGAUAUUCUUCACUAUUUGUAUUCUAGCCAUAGUUUAAAAAACCGGACCGAACCGGCGGUCGAACCGGAAAAAAGGGAACUGGCGGCCUCAGCGGUUGUCUAAGCUAAUAAGACCGUUCUGCAAUCAGACCGGAGAAAACUGGUCGAACCGGCUGGUUUUCUGGAAAACCGGUAGAAAAACCGGGCCAUUGAACCAUGAAAAAUCAGGAAUAUGUUUCAAUAGAAAUUGGGAAAGUGGGAUUCAAUCCCAUGUCGUGUGAGCAGUACGCGGGACCUGCCCACGGCCCAAUAACCAACUCGGAUGUCCUACUUUGUUGUCCACUACAUGGAAAUAAAUAUAUUUGACCAUUGUUUCACACUAUAUUAGCGCAUAUAUUACUCAACAUAUAUUAUUUUAUUGCUUAAAAACACCGACAAUCGAACCGGUGAACCGGCGGUCCGAUCGGUAAAAACCUGAACCGACAACCUUUCCGGUUCGAUGUCCGGUUCGGUUUUUUAAACUAUGAUUCUAGCAAAGCAUUCCUACUCUUUGAUACUAUUGCAUAUGCUUGAGUUGCUACUGCUGCUGUUGCUACUAAUGUUACUACUGUUGUUACUCUGCUACUAUUGCUAUCAAUGUUAUGAUGUUACUGUGCUACUAAUAAAUUUUCAUAUCAGCCAAGUAGUUGGCUUGUUUUUCUCUUUGUCGCUUGAGGAAUUGUCUCCUGUGAAGUAGGUUUGGCUGUACAAUUUUGUAGUAUUGGUGUUAGCUGGUUUUAGCCCUGGAAUCGGAGUUUCGAAUGCGAGCUCCAAGUGGCAGGUUUCCUGCUAGUGCCCCAGCUCACUUUCUCCCCUCUACCUUAUUCUCCUAAUCAUGGUGUAGUCGCUGCUUUAGGUUAUGGUAAUAGACUUUGUAUUUCCGUUAAGAAAUUAAUGGAAAAGGGAAAAGGCCCGGUUGAAAACAAAAAUGGUGCAAGGAAGUGAUUCUCGGGUGUGGUUGAAUCGAUAAGUCAACUGGUAAGUCUUAUAAAUAUUCUUCGGUUUCCCUUGUAUCGAAUCAAUAUAUUUGGGUGAAAUACUACUCUCGAAGACUGUUGUGAUCCCCUAUACUUCUGGGUCAUCGGAAGCAUGGUAGCAUGCACCAUUGAGGGCCGAGAUGCACAUGCACGUUUAGAGCCAGGCCGAAGGGUGAGUAGUCAUGCACAUGCCAUGUGAAGCGUGAACCGCCAAUGAGGUAUUUUGGCACUUGGUAAAGUGUUCAAGACAUGUGCCUAUGGAAAACAUAGCAGAUGUGACCUCAUGAGACACCGAUGCAAAGGUGGAUGUGAGCUUGGAUAGGACGUCGAUGUC